GAACCAGCCAAGUCGCGUGAAGGAAGAAGGUUCUAUGGAUUGUAAACUUCUUUUGCAGGGGAAUAAAGUUCGCUACGUGUAGCGAUUUGUAUGUACUCUGCGAAUAAGGAUCGGCUAACUCCGUGCCAGCAGCCGCGGUAAUACGGAGGAUCCGAGCGUUAUCCGGAUUUAUUGGGUUUAAAGGGUGCGUAGGCGGGCCUGAAAGUCAGCGGUGAAAGUUUGCAGCUUAACUGUAAAAUUGCCGUUGAAACUGUGGGUCUAGAGUGUAAAUGAGGUAGGCGGAAUGUGUUGUGUAGCGGUGAAAUGCUUAGAUAUAACACAGAACACCGAUUGCGAAGGCAGCUUACUGGGAUACAACUGACGCUGAGGCACGAAAGCGUGGGGAUCAAACAGGAUUAGAUACCCUGGUAA
rnacentral:rRNA from 1 species